UCAAGCAGAACAACCAAGAUCGAAAAAGCCUAAAUCAAGACCUUCGAAAUAUAUUGUACUUGAAAAGAGGCCUUCAACUCACAGAUCUACACCAACAAAUGGCCAAAGUUCAAAACAGCUAAGGGAUGCAGCUAAAAAUCAAAGAGUAUAUAAUGCUCCCACUUCAGAUGAAGUUGCUGUUAUCUGGCCUGAUAGUGUUUCGUCAAGUCAGAGUUCAUGGCCACAUGUUCUUGUAACAGCAAAGUCUUCAAAGUCUCAUCGGAUUGCUCAUUUUUAUGGGUGCUAUGAUCCU